GUGGGGAAUAUUGGACAAUGGGGGAAACCCUGAUCCAGCAAUGCCGCGUGAGUGAUGAAGGCCUUAGGGUUGUAAAGCUCUUUUACCAGGGAUGAUAAUGACAGUACCUGGAGAAUAAGCUCCGGCUAACUCCGUGCCAGCAGCCGCGGUAAUACGGAGGGAGCUAGCGUUGUUCGGAAUUACUGGGCGUAAAGCGCACGUAGGCGGCUUUUUAAGUCAGGGGUGAAAUCCCGGGGCUCAACCCCGGAACUGCCUUUGAAACUGGAAAGCUAGAAUCCUGGAGAGGCGAGUGGAAUUCCGAGUGUAGAGGUGAAAUUCGUAGAUAUUCGGAAGAACACCAGUGGCGAAGGCGACUCGCUGGACAGGUAUUGACGCUGAGGUGCGAAAGCGUGGGGAGCAAACAGGAUUAGAAACCCUAGUAGUCC
rnacentral:rRNA from 1 species